CUCCCCACUUAGGUUUUUGUAAUAACCCAGAACUAACAGCAGCCUUGCAGACCAACAGUUUGACCACUGGCACCAGUUACGAAGACCACUGAUGGUGCUCUUCUGCCACGUCUUUGAUAGAACUUCAAUCUUGGGAGAAUGGUGUUAGACCCCAGAUCAGUGGAAUCUUGAUGCACCGCUGCCUCGGCUCCACUCUGCAAAGCCGGACCUCCACGUCACUCUUCCAGCCUCUGGACCAGCAAGAAGACAGCAAUAUCUGCACCAGCUGAGGAGAUAAGGAAAAAGGGAUAUUGCUGGAAUUGUGUUUGUUAUCCUAUAACUGGAGCUGGCAAAAGACCACUGAACAGAUGACAUGAUCCUGACACUAUUCUUUUCAAAGCCAUACUGGCCAGAAACUAGAUAGGAAAGAGAGACACAGUGGAGGACCUGAAGAAAAAUGGGAGUCCUAGAAAAGGUGAUGCUGUGCAGAUCCUCCUUAUAGUCACUGCAAGACCAAUGGCAUCGAGGAGCAAAACUCCAUGCUUCUUUUGUGUUAGUAUAAAUACUUCCUGAGUGUGUGAUAUGAGGAACUCUCAGUAAAAGACCCACACAGAAGAGUUUUAUUUUUCUCCUUCAGCUCCACUGGCCUCCUCUGUUAAGUUUUCCCACAGUGUGUGGUCAUAUGCAUGUGCAACUUAACAGUUUUACAGAACUCCUCUGAUUGGUUAGGUAGUAAAGUAAGAAUGAAAAC